GCUUCAGUAGCUCAGUUGGUAGAGCGCGGCAUUUGUAAUGCCGAGGACCUCUCUGAAGCA
rnacentral:tRNA from 1 species